GACGAACGCUGGCGGCGUGCUUAAUACAUGCAAGUCAACUGAACUUAGGAUAGCAAUAUUUAAGGGAGGUGGCGCACGGUGAGUAACACGUAGGUAAUCUGCCUUUAGGUCUGACAUAACCUACCGAAAGGUAGGCUAAAAUCAGAUGAUGCAGCGGCUCGACAUCGAGACAGUUGUUAAAUCUUCGGAGCCUAAAGAUGAGCCUGCGUCUGAUUAGGUAGUUGGCGGUGUAAUGGACCACCAAGCCUGCGAUCAGUAGCUGGUCUGAGAGGAUGAUCAGCCACACUGGAACUGAGACACGGUCCAGACUCCUACGGGAGGCAGCAGUAAGGAAUAUUG
rnacentral:rRNA from 1 species